rnacentral:misc_RNA from 1 species
GAAAUGCGAUAACUAAUGUGAAUUGCAGAAUUCAGUGAAUCAUCGAGUCUUUGAACGCACAUUGCGCCCCAUGGUAUUCCGUGGGGCAUGCCUGUUUGAGCGUCAGCAAAAUCCAUCAUGUAUAUCCUUUUUGUGGAUAUGCUUGGAAUCUAUCAGGGAAGCAAACUGAAAUAGGUUUGCCCUCUGGAAAGUCAUGGAUGGUCAACUUGGUUAUUUCCUCGCCGACGUGAUAAUAAACAUUCAUGUUUUCUAUUCGUUUGGAUGAAGAACUAAGCUGAGUCUCCUAGAACCUACAGCUUUUUUAUGAGCUUUAAUGACUUGACCUCAAAUCAGGUAGGAAUACCCGCUGAACUUAA